GGCAAGAUGAGAUGACCCUGGGAUGGGAGGUUGUCUCCUUGGCUCAUCAUUUGUUUAUUUCUUGGUGUUCUGAUCUCUCCUAGACAGAAGCCAAGUUUUAAUUAGCUCCCCUUAGGGAAAUGGAGAUGAGUAUGGAAGACAGAGAUGCCUUGAGGAAAGGUAUUACUUUGGGACUACCUGAAGAGCUCACCCCCUUUGCUCCAUGCUCUUCAGCCAACUUCUUCCCAAAAGCUUAGCUCCCUUCCCUCUUUCCUCAACCUCUACUCUCUGGGUGCAAAGUCCCUUAUAAACCUGCUCACCCUGAGGGACAAGCAACUAAUUUUGUCCUUUUGAGGGGGAGGUACAAUUUUUAAAAGGGUGGUGAGCAAUCAUAAGCUCACAGAACUCAACAGAUAGAAUUUAUCUCUUUCUCCAUCCCACCCCCAAAUACAUUGUUUUGUUUGUUUCGAUUUUUGGAUAUUUUAUUUUCCCAUUUACAUGUCAUAGCACUUCUCAACAUACAUUUUCUGAAACUAUAAGGUCCAAAUUCUCUCUCUCUCUCCUUUCCCUCCAUCCUCCUGGAGAUGGUAAGCAAUUUGAUUUGGUUUAUAUAUGUAUUAUCCUGCAAAACUUACUUCCAUAUUGGUCUUUGUUUUAAGAGAAUAUUCAUAUAAAACCCAAAUCCCAAAAUAAAAACACAAACUAAAGUGAAAAAUACACUUUGAUCUGCAUUCUGAUUCCAACAGUUCUUUCUCUGAAGGUGGACAGCAUUCUUUGUCAUAAGUCCCUCAGAGUUGUCCUGGAUCAUUGUAUUGCUGAUGAUAGCUAAGUCUUUCACAGUUGAUCAUCAUACAAUAUUGCUGCUUCUGUGUACAACGUUCUCCCAGUUCUGCUUAUUUUGCUCUGCAUCAGUUCAUAAGGCUAUCCCAACAAAGAAUAAAGAAAGAUGGAGGAAAAAGCUCUAUUCAUCAAGACUGAACAGCACAUCAAUCAAGUCUGUCAAUAAUAUACAGUUCCACAUGAUAGUCCUUCACUUCCACAAAAAGGGAAAUAGAUUAGAUUUUUUUUCUCUGGAGAAAAGUUUGGUCCUUAUCACUUGAUAACAUUCAGUUUCAAUCAUUUGGUGGUGAUUGUUUUUUCCAUUUAUAUUGCCAUAUUUAUUGUUUUAUUGUUCUUUUGGUCUUUUUUACUUUAUUUUGCAUCAGUCCAUAUAAGCUCUUAUCCAUGCCUCUCUGUACUCAUCAUAUUCAUCCUUUCUUAAAAUCCAAAAAUAUAGCAUACAUUUAUAAAGCACAGAUUGAGCAUCGACUUUGUUUCCCAUUCUUUGCUAUUUCACAAAAUGUCACUACAAAUAUUUUGGCAAAUAAUGGGAUUUAAAAAUAUGUAUCAUUUAUCUCUUUGAAGAGUAUAUAUUUCUUUGAAUUAAAAAAAUAUGGACAUGAAUCAUUUUGCAACAACAAAAAAUCAAAAUUUCAACUCUUUCAAAUCAUAAUUUGAAAGAAAUUCCAAAUUUAUUUCUAGGAUGGUUGGAGUAAUUCACAGCUCCACUAGUGUGUCUCUUUUUACACCUCAGAGUUGUCUUUUUCUUUUUUUUUGCAUUACUCUUAUGGAUGCACUCUCAUUAUGGAUGAUUUGGAGCAUUCCUCUUUUUUUUUUUUAAAGCCUUUUAAUGAACCUGAUCUUCUAUAAAGGAGAUGGGAUGGUGUCUUCUGUCUUUUCUUUGGAGUCAAGCUUGGUCAUUAUAAUUUUAAGCCAUUAAAUUUUGACUGUUUUGUUGCUGUUUUUUAUGUUUCUACACUUGGAGUUAUCGUGUAGACAUUGUCUUUCCAAGAUUCUCAGUAUUUAUAUUCAUUGUUUUUAGUAGCAUAGUAAUAUUCCAGUCUGGAGAAGAAAAUAACAAACCAUUCCAGUUAUCUUUGCCAAGAAAAUCCCAAAUGAGGUCACAAAGAAUCGCACAUGAAUGAAAUGACUGAACAACCACAAAACAAAAUAUUCCAGUCAGUCAACAAAGAUUUAUCAAGCACUUACUAGAAGCACAGAGAAAGCCUAAAAAAGCCCCCCUCCCCUCAAAAUCCCCCUCCCUCCC
ensembl:lncRNA